CAGGAUGAACGCUAGCUACAGGCUUAACACAUGCAAGUCGAGGGGCAGCGGGAUUGAAGCUUGCUUCAAUUGCCGGCGACCGGCGCACGGGUGAGUAACGCGUAUCCAACCUUCCGUACACUCAGGGAUAGCCUUUCGAAAGAAAGAUUAAUACCUGAUGGUAUGAUGAGAUUGCAUGAUAGCAUCAUUAAAGAUUUAUCGGUGUACGAUGGGGAUGCGUUCCAUUAGGUAGUAGGCGGGGUAACGGCCCACCUAGCCAACGAUGGAUAGGGGUUCUGAGAGGAAGGUCCCCCACAUUGGAACUGAGACACGGUCCAAACUCCUACGGGAGGCAGCAGUGAGGAAUAUUGGUCAAUGGACGAGAGUCUGAACCAGCCAAGUAGCGUGAAGGAUGAAGGUCCCACGGAUUGUAAACUUCUUUUAUAAGGGAAUAAACCCUCCCACGUGUGGGAGCUUGUAUGUACCUUAUGAAUAAGCAUCGGCUAACUCCGUGCCAGCAGCCGCGGUAAUACGGAGGAUGCGAGCGUUAUCCGGAUUUAUUGGGUUUAGAGGGAGCGCAGACGGGUCGUUAAGUCAGCUGUGAAAGUUUGGGGCUCAACCUUAAAAUUGCAGUUGAUACUGGCGUCCUUGAGUGCGGUUGAGGUGUGCGGAAUUCGUGGUGUAGCGGUGAAAUGCUUAGAUAUCACGAAGAACUCCGAUUGCGAAGGCAGCACACUAAUCCGUAACUGACGUUCAUGCUCGAAAGUGUGGGUAUCAAACAGGAUUAGAUACCCUGGUAGUCCACACGGUAAACGAUGGAUACUCGCUGUUGGCGAUAUACUGUCAGCGGCUUAGCGAAAGCGUUAAGUAUCCCACCUGGGGAGUACGCCGGCAACGGUGAAACUCAAAUGAAUUGACGGA
rnacentral:rRNA from 1 species